UACGUAGGGUGCGAGCGUUAAUCGGAAUUACUGGGCGUAAAGCGUGCGCAGGCGGUUUCGUAAGACAGACGUGAAAUCCCCGGGCUCAACCUGGGAACUGCGUUUGUGACUGCGAGGCUAGAGUACGGCAGAGGGGGGUAGAAUUCCACGUGUAGCAGUGAAAUGCGUAGAGAUGUGGAGGAAUACCGAUGGCGAAGGCAGCCCCUGGGUUAGUACUGACGCUCAUGCACGAAAGCGUGGGGAGCAAACAGGAUUAGAAACCCUUGUAGU
rnacentral:rRNA from 1 species